UACGGAGGGAGCUAGCGUUGUUCGGAAUUACUGGGCGUAAAGCGUACGUAGGCGGUUAUUCAAGUCAGAGGUGAAAGCCCGGGGCUCAACCCCGGAACGGCCUUUGAAACUAGAUAGCUAGAGUCUUGGAGAGGUUAGUGGAAUUCCGAGUGUAGAGGUGAAAUUCGUAGAUAUUCGGAAGAACACCAGUGGCGAAGGCAGCCCCCUGGGUCGAUACUGACGCUCAUGCACGAAAGCGUGGGGAGCAAACAGG
rnacentral:rRNA from 1 species